GCUGGGAGUAGUGGCACGUGCCUGUAGUCCCAGCUACCCAGAAGGAUGAGGGUGGAGGAUUGCUUGAGCCCAGAAAUUCUGGGCUGUAGUGCGCUAUGCUGAUUGGGUGUCUGCACUAAGUUUGGCAUCAAUAUGGUGACCUCCCAGGAGUGAGGGACCACCAUGUUGCCUAAGGAGGGGUGAACCGGCGUAGGUUGGAAACAGGGCAGUCAAAACUCCUGUGUUAAUAGCGGGAUUGAGCCUGUCAAGAGUCACUGUACUCCAGCCUGAACAACAUAGCGAGACCCCAUCUCUA
ensembl:misc_RNA Metazoa_SRP Metazoan signal recognition particle RNA